GAUGAACGCUAGCGGCAGGCCUAAUACAUGCAAGUCGGACGGGAUUCAGGAGCUUGCUUCUGAUGAGAGUGGCGCACGGGUGCGUAACACGUAUGUAACCUACCUUUAUCAGGGGGAUAGCCUCUCGAAAGAGAGAUUAAGCCCGCAUAAAAUCACAGCACAGCAUUGUGUAAUGAUCAAAUAUUUAUAGGAUAAAGAUGGGCAUGCGGAACAUUAGCUAGAUGGCGGGGUAACGGCCCACCAUGGCGACGAUGUUUAGGGGAUCUGAGAGGAUGGCCCCCCACACUGGUACUGAGACACGGACCAGACUCCUACGGGAGGCAGCAGUAAGGAAUAUUGGUCAAUGGGCGGAAGCCUGAAUCAGCCAUGCCGCGUGCAGGAAGACGGCCCUACGGGUUGUAAACUGCUUUUAUACGGGAAUAAACCCAGAUACGUGUAUCUGGCUGAAUGUACUGUAAGAAUAAGGAUCGGCUAACUCCGUG
rnacentral:rRNA from 1 species